AACGAACGCUGGCGGCAUGCCUAACACAUGCAAGUCGAACGAGACCUUCGGGUCUAGUGGCGCACGGGUGCGUAACGCGUGGGAACCUGCCCUUAGGUUCGGAAUAACUCCCCGAAAGGGGUGCUAAUACCGGAUAAUGUCUUCGGACCAAAGAUUUAUCGCCUUUGGAUGGGCCCGCGUUGGAUUAGCUAGUUGGUAGGGUAAAAGCCUACCAAGGCGACGAUGCAUAGCUGGUCUGAGAGGAUGAUCAGCCACACUGGGACUGAGACACGGCCCAGACUCCUACGGGAGGCAGCAGUGGGGAAUAUUGGACGAUGGGCGAAGGCCUGAUCCCGCAAUGCCGGGUGAGUGAUGAAGGCCUUAGGGUUGUAAAGCUCUUUUACCCGGGAUGAUAAUGACAGUACCGGGAGAAUAAGCUCCGGCUAACUCCGUG
rnacentral:rRNA from 1 species